GCCCCGAUAGCUCAGCUGUAUAGAGCAGCCGCCUCCUAAGCGGCAGGUCGGAGGUUAGAAUCCUCUUCGGGGUGCCA
rnacentral:tRNA from 1 species